UGUAGUGUUAUGAUAUGAGGGGUAGGUUAGUGUUAUGAUAUGAGGGUAGGUUAGUGUUAUGAUAUGAGGGUAGGUUAGUGUUAGACAUGUCUGUAUGUAGUGUUAUGAUAUGAGGGUAGGUUAGUGUUAUGAUAUGAUAUGAGGGUAGGUUAGUGUUAUGAUAUGAGGGUAGGUUAGUGGUAGACAUGUCUGUAUGUAGUGUUAUGAUAUGAGGGUAGGUUAGUGGUAGACAUGUCUGUAUGUAGUGUUACAAUAUGAGGGUAGGUUAGUGUUAGACAUGUCUGUAUGUAGUGUUAUGAUAUGAGGGUAGGUUAGUGUUAUGAUAUGAGGGUAGGUUAGUGUUAUGAUAUGAGGGUAGGUUAGUGUUAGACAUGUCUGUAUGUAGUGUUAUGAUAUGAGGGUAGGUUAGUGUUAGACACGUCUGUAUGUAGUGUUAUGAUAUGAGGGUAGGUUAGUGGUAGACAUGUCUGUAUGUAGUGUUAUGAUAUGAGGGUAGGUUGGUGGUAGACAUGUAUGUAUAUUGUGUUAUGAUAUGAGGGUAGGUUAGUGUUAUGAUAUGAGGGUAGGUUAGUGGUAGACAUGACUGUAUGUAGUGUUAUGAUAUGAGGGUAGGUUAGUGUUAUGAUAUGAGGGUAGGUUAGUGUUAUGAUAUGAGGGUAGGUUAGUGGUAGACAUGUCUGUAUGUAGUGUUAUGAUAUGAGGGUAGGUUAGUGUUAGAAUACGUCUGUAUGUAGUGUUAUGAUAUGAGGGUAGGUUAGUGGUAGACAUGUCUGUAUGUAGUGUUAUGAUAUGAGGGUAGGUUAGUGGUAGACAUGUCUGUAUGUAGUGUUAUGAUAUGAGGGUAGGUUAGUGGUAGACAUGUCUGUAUGUAGUGUUAUGAUAUGAGGGUAGGUUAGUGGUAGGCAUGUCUGUAUGUAGUGUUAUGAUAUGAGGGUAGGUUAGUGGUAGACAUGUCUGUAUGUAGUGUUAUGAUAUGAGGGUAGGUUAGUGGUAGACAUGUUUGUAUGUAGUGUUAUGAUAUGAGGGUAGGUUAGUGUUAUGAUAUGAGGGUAGGUUAGUGUUAAACCAGACUGUAUGUAGUGUUAUGAUAUGAAGGUAGGUUAGUGGUAGACAUGUCUGUAUGUAGUGUUAUGAUAUGAGGGUAGGUUAGUGGUAGACAUGUCUGUAUGUAGUGUUAUGAUAUGAGGGUAGGUUAGUGGUAGACAUGUCUGUAUGUAGUGUUAUGAUAUGAUGGUAGGUUAGUGGUAGACAUUUCUGUAUGUAGUGUUAUGAUAUGAGGGUAGGUUAGUUUUAUGAUAUGAGGGUAGGUUAGUGUUAGACAUGUCUGUAUGUAGUGUUAUGAUAUGAGGGUAGGUUAGUGGUAGACAUGUAUGUAUGUUGUGUUAUGAUAUGAGGGUAGGUUAGUGUUAUGAUAUGAGGGUAGGUUAGUGGUAGACAUGACUGUAUGUAGUGUUAUGAUAUGAGGGUAGGUUAGUGUUAUGAUAUGAGGGUAGGUUAGUGUUAUGAUAUGAGGGUAGGUUAGUGGUAGACAUGUCUGUAUGUAGUGUUAUGAUAUGAGGGUAGGUUAGUGUUAGAAUACGUCUGUAUGUAGUGUUAUGAUAUGAGGGUAGGUUAGUGGUAGACAUGUCUGUAUGUAGUGUUAUGAUAUGAGGGUAGGUUAGUGGUAGACAUGUCUGUAUGUAGUGUUAUGAUAUGAGGGUAGGUUAGUGGUAGACAUGUCUGUAUGUAGUGUUCUGAUAUGAGGGUAGGUUAGUGGUAGGCAUGUCUGUAUGUAGUGUUAUGAUAUGAGGGUAGGUUAGUGUUAUGAUAUGAGGGUAGGUUAGUGUUAAACCAGACUGUAUGUAGUGUUAUGAUAUGAAGGUAGGUUAGUGGUAGACAUGUCUGUAUGUAGUGUUAUGAUAUGAGGGUAGGUUAGUGGUAGACAUGUCUGUAUGUAGUGUUAUGAUAUGAGGGUAGGUUAGUGGUAGACAUGUCUGUAUGUAGUGUUAUGAUAUGAUGGUAGGUUAGUGGUAGACAUGACUGUAUGUAGUGUUAUGAUAUGAAGGUAGGUUAGUGGUAGACAUGUCUGUAUGUAGUGUUAUGAUAUGAGGGUAGGUUAGUGUUAUGAUAUGACGGUAGGUUAGUGUUAUGAUAUGAGGGUAGGUUAGUGUUAGACAUGUCUGUAUGUAGUGUUAUGAUAUGUGGGUAGGUUGGUGGUAGACAUGUAUGUAUGUAGUGUUAUGAUAUGAGGGUAGGUUAGUGGUUACUUUAUCCUAUCCCAGGUAUUCCUUAAAGAGGUGGGGUUUCAGGUGUCUCCGGAAGGUGGUGAUUGACUCCGCUGUCCAGGCGUCGUGAGGGAGCUUGUUCCACCAUUGGGGUGCCAGAGCAGCGAACAGUUUUGACUGGGCUGAGCGGUAACUGUGCUUCCUCAGAGGUAGGGAGGCGAGCAGGCCAGAGGUGGAUGAACGCAGUGCCCUUGUUUGGGUGUAGGGACUGAUCAGAGCCUGAAGGUACGGAGGUGCCGUUCCCCUCACAGCUCCGUAGGCAAGCACCAUGGUCUUGUAGCAGAUGCGAGCUUCAACUGGAAGCCAGUGGAGUGUGCGGAGGAGCGGGGUGACGUGA
rnacentral:lncRNA from 1 species